CACACACACAUUAUAACACCCACAUAUUAUUCAGAGUAAGGUUUGGAGAGAAAUAAAGAGCUAAUAUGAGGGAAUUUCACUGCAACAGAGACUUCAGCUUUCAGAAUGAAAUGAUGCUAGGUAGAUUUUGUCUCCCAUCCCUUUCAAAUUACAUUAGGUUGAAAUAAUUCAUCUCUUUGCCACUAGUGAGGAUGUGGAGCAAGCUAUUAAAAGGUACACAUGGGUAUGCAAAUACUGUCUUGAAAUAUUGUAAUUCACUGAUGGCAUUGUGUUGACCAUGAAACAAUAACAGUGUAUAUACGGUAUCUGUUUCCAUGCAGAGUGAAAAUAUAUAUAUAUAUAUAUAAAUAUAUGUACAUGCACUGCAGUGUUUCUGUCCAUGCGUCAUUAGCUGUAUUCAGCAGUAUCAUCUGGUUUAAUGGGACCAGCGAUCAAUAUCUGUCAAGGGCCACAUGAAUCUUCUCAACAUAAAAAAGGAACUGACACCCUGACCCAUCCCUUCUCUUUUCACUCCGUUCUCUUCAGAGAAUGUGGAAAGCCGAGGCUAUUGAUUUCUCAUCACCUGUUGUCAUGUUAGGUUACAACAUCCUCUUCUACUGUACCACCGCUGGUAUCCCAGUAGUUGACUUCAAACCCACUGACCAAACCAAAAAACAGAAAAUAUCUCAGAACAAUCACACUUUUCGCCACAUUUUAAAAUAAAUACCUACUGUAUGUGUAUGCUAUAUUAUGUGUAGUGCUGUAUGUAGUGACUCUUUCAUCCAUUCAUUUACUUGCUUUCACAGUCCUUGUUCUGAACAGAAAUCCUUGCUACACCCAGUGGGUCAGGCUAAUUGCCAGUUGUGGUUUAUGGACUAUGCUAGAAGAAAGACAAGGACUAUGCUAGAAGAAAGAAGGACCAGGCUAAAAAAAGGAGAAGGACUAUGCUAGAAGAACGAGAAGGACCAUAGAAGAAAGAAGGACCGGGCUGGCAGAACGAGGAGGACCAUGCUAAAUGAAAGAAGGACCAGGCUAGAAGAACGAGAAGGACCAUGCUAGAAGAAACAGAAGGACUAUGCUAGAAGAAAGAAGGACCAGGCUAAAAAAAGGAGAAGGACUAUGCUAGAAGAACGAGAAGGACCAUAGAAGAAAGAAGGACCGGGCUGGAAGAACGAGAAGGACCAUGCUAGAAGAAACAGAAGGACUAUGCUAGAAGAAAGAAGGACCAGGCUAGAAGAAAGAAGGACCAGGCUGGAAGAACGAGAAGGACUAUGUUAGAAGAAAGAGAAGGACUAUGCUAGAAGAAACAAAAGGACUAUGCUAGAAGAACGAGACAAAUCAGGCUAGAAGAACGAGAAGGACCAUGCUAGAAGAAACAGAAGGACUAUGCUAGAAGAAAGAAGGACCAGGCUAGAAGAAAGAAGGACCAUGCUAGAAGAAACAGAAGGACUAUGUUAGAAGAAAGAGAAGGACUUUGCUAGCAGAGGCUCCGACACAGCAGAAAACGAAAUGGCUCGGGGCACUCAAUCUCCCGGCGAGGACUUUCCACGCUGAAAGUACAGGAAAUAUAUAGAUUAUCUGUUUCUACUAUGCGCCUGAAUGGCUCGGCUGCCAGAGGAACAACGCUGAGCCAACAUCCUCGCAUCGCUCCCACUGAGGCUGCAGGCCGAUUCUCUGGAUCCUUCUUUGUCAUCACGGUUGUGCUUCUAUAUGGAACACUAUGUUCAUCAGGAAAGGUCGAUACUGAUCUCACCUCCCGCCAUUACACAACGCUCUGCACAGCCAGGUGUUGACUGGCUUUUAUUUCAACCAUUUUCUUUACUAAAGAAUCAAUCAAUGAACACGAAAAGCCAAUCGACAAGUGCGAGAGGUGUUGCUUCAUUCUCGAAUACAACCGACGAAGUAUUACAGCCGUCGUAAUACGACUAUAAGUGACAGGCAGGGAGAUAACAACUUUGAGAAUAUAUUCAAUAUAAACUCGAAAUGUAAUGGCUUCAUGGCUGGGGCACUUACAAGCCGAUCCAAGUCGAACACACACCACACGCAGUGAGAUGCAUAAUAAUGCAUUUUCAUGACUCCCACUUGAGUUCUACUUCACAGGUCUAUCUGGGAAGGUGAUAACACUGAGAUGAGCUGGCAGGCUGUAGGUGUUAACAGCAACAUUACCCAUUAGUCUGGCAGAAGGAAUUCUGUGUUUUGCUGUGACUUAGUUAACGCCAUGCUUGUUGUUGAUCCAACUGAGCUAAUUACAGGCGGUUUAAAAUGACCAUCUGUAUGAUCCGCACAUUUAAUUUGGUCUUACAGUCUCACGCCUUAUACUUGUUAAGUACCCAUAGCAUGAAACCAUAAACGGGGUGGAUUCUUUAUGUUGUGAGAUGUCUCCAACAUAAAUCAAGCUGCUACCAAAAACCAAGUUUUCAAAUAAAACAGUGUAGCAAUGCUUUUAAUCAGAAAGUUGCUCUCCACCCAACGACCUUUUUGGAUGGCUUUUUUUGAUUUAGGAAAUUUGACCAACCAGGGUUGAAAAAACAGUUCAGUCUUUCCGAGUCAAGCAGGCAGCACCGCUGCGCGUAACGGAGCUGUGCGAAGGGAUCAACAGAGGGAUGAGUUUUGAAAAGGUCACGCAACCUGCAGAGCAAGGAGAGAGGCGAGGACAAAAGGGGGGAGGAAUGGUAUCAUAGGCGCAAACAUGGGUUGAUUGUUCACACGGCACGUCACCCUCCAUUUGCGGCACAAGGGUGCUGCGGUGUGAGCGGCUCACACAGCUGGCCGGCAGGACGUCACCCAAAAGCAAACAAAUACACACACAGCAAUUCAAACCCUGUCAACAAACUCCAUUUUUGCUGCAUUCCCAUAUGCGUUUUUCCUUUAAAAGCAACGUCUUUAAAUGCACGGCACCUCUUCCGCGGCGGGACCCGCCAACCCUCAGCUGGCGCCGGCUUGGUGCUGAGGGCGGGGCACGGAGACAGCUGAGCGGAGUAGCCCCCCCUGAUCUGGCCUUCUGACAGCUGUGUGUGUGUGUCUGCCGUCAGAGGAUGAAAGCAGGCGCGCGUGCACACACACACACACACACACACACACACACACACAGUUCUUAGAGCCUCUCAUUGCAGCUAGCUCACGAAAGCAUUACGCGGCGCGAUCCAGAUUAGUUCGGGCCACUGGCGGGUAAUUACAGACUGGCAGCAUGCAGGCUCGGCCCUGCUGGGCAACGUGAGGAUACAGCCGGUAAUUCCUUGUGCGGCGCGGCCCCUCACACUGCAGAAAAUGGAUUGAAUUGGGAUUGCUAAUGAUUCUGAUUGCAGAUGGGUUGCAGUGUUUUGGAUGAUCUCAAUAGCAAGGUCGAGUACCAGUAUGCAAACAACCAAGACCAGAAGUAUGAGCCCAAGGAUCACCCUGUGACCCAAAAUUGAGAAACAUUUUCAGUAAAUAAUCCAUGUGCCUAAAAACAGAACAAGAAGUCACUUAUUCAUUUGUCCCUAAUCAGUGAUGUUGCUAGGUCCGCGUCCUCUGUCUCUGACAAAUAAGCUCCCCAUGGAUUUCUCCUUUGGAAACCCUGUAGGCACCACAUAAGAAGUGUAUUGUGUGUGUGUGUGUGUGUGUGUGUGUGUGUGACACUGCAAAUUAGAUAGCACAAGACAAUCGCACAGCAAACAGCUGAACUGCUCUUGGAGCACCAGCUGCACCCGGUCGCCCGUCCACACACUCCUCCCUGCUCAGAUGAUGCUACUGUUAAACCAACCACGCAAUACGUCAACAGUCAGACUGCAUGUGAAUCAAAGUGUGGCAUUCUGAAGGACGUUUUCCACAAUGGUGGAAGUUACAUGUUCGUCAUAGAAAGAGUCACAUAGUUCUUGACUCAGUCCAUGUUCUUAUUACAGCAGGUUGGAUUUGUGAAGGGUUUUGUAAAUAGUUUUCAAAUCAGGGAAUAUUCAUGGAAAUGCAUCAUUAUUUUCUUUCCAACGAAUGAAUACAAUCAUAAUUCUCACAACAUCAAACACAGGUUUAGCAACAAUUUGUCAACACAACUGACCGCAUGUGGAUUACUGGGACUCACUACAAUGGAAACAACCAGCAGCAUUGCUAGUUGCUGCUUUUGACAUGUAAUCAUACAACUCCAAUCAAAACCAAUCAAAAUUAACCUCAAAGACCCUGAUAUGCGUUUACGCUGCAGCGCAUAUUCAUUAACAUCUGAUUCACCAAACCUGCAUCCAAUUAUGUCCUUGGUGAAUAGGACAGCCUCAUGAAAAAUGGCGUACUUAUUAAAGUAAAUAACACAAUAAAAAAUGCAACAUUAAGUCUGUAAUUAAACUCUAAUUGAAAAAAUAUUGUACAGGUCUCUAUUGCUAACAUCAUUCAGUUUAAUAUUCAUGACAAACUAUUUUAUAAAACGGUUUCAGUGAGGAAUCAUAUGGAAAUUGAAGAUACAAAAAAAGUAAAUAAUAGACAAAAAUACUCGCCACAGCAAUUCCAAAUGUAGAAACACUGCAGCAAUCUUUAAUUAAUGAUCAUCAGUUGUUGAAUUUGUCACUUAAAACUACUUUAGAAACAAAUGGUUGGUUGUUUUAAAUGGUGUAAAUGGUUACGUAAACACAUAGAAUAAUAAAAUGUUAUGGUAAAAUGGUGCGUCAUUUAUGAUUUAGUGAGCGAUUUCUUUUGUCGAUCACUAACUUUGUUGUUUUAGGACCGAAGUAGGUCGAUCACCAAAGCAGUGCCGGGAGAUCGAUCACGUUGAGUCAACACACAUGCACGGUCGACCGCGGGAGAUAACGGAAAGCCAGGUAGUGCUAAUUAUCAUCCUGAUUUAAACCUGAAAGGUGCAUUUAGGUGGUUGCAGGUCUCUGUCAGGUUUGUGUACCACUGCUCUAAUGUUUGAUGAAUAUUUACAACAAAAAUGUUUUUCCUUAACUUAAUUGAAUCAAAAUGUGUGGUUUUAAGAAUUUGAAUUAUAGUUUUGCAGAUUAUCUGAAUAAUAUUGUAGAUAGAGAUCAAUUCAGGAUAAAUGUGACAUUAAUUCUCCAAUUGACCCAAUUCAUUAGAUGGAGAAGCUUCACCCAGCAGGCUGGUAAAUGCCAAUUACCAAUUACCAAGCUGGUAUAUUACAAUCAUGUCCAGAUUCUAAAGUGACCCUAGAAGCUCAUGUCUUAUUGGUCAUCUCCAGGCUUUCCAUAUAAAAACUGUCCUUACAAGCAUGCAUGACCUUCUGGCGUUUCCUGCAGGAAGGAGAGAUGAGAAAAUAAGAAGGUCUGGGCUGCUGUGACUCCGUGGGAGUAUAAAUACCCGAGCUAGCACUCAGCCAUUACUCUUCACAAAUAGAUGUCAAAGAGAAUUUGGAACCACAGUGCAAACAUAUAAGCGACUGCCUUUUAAGAAGGUGGGCCCCACUGCAUGGCAUGGGCCGGAUUCAAAGUAAAGUUGUCUUUUCAUUCGCCACAGCUUUCUUAGAAGGCAGCUGCUUAAGAGUCUGCACAGAAUAAAAACGCAAAAGGGGAUUUUCUUUACAUAAAAAUUCAAAGACUGAGCACUAAUGAGUUUGGUUGACUCCCUAUGGUUGUCAUAUAACCAUUGCUUUAUUGCCCAUUAAACUUUUAAUGCUAUUUACCACAAUCAAAUGAAUUGCCACCAGCAGUAAUCAGCGAUGAGCUUUAACUCGCUCUCACUGAUGUGUGUCCUCGCUUUUGGCUCAGCCUUCUCCUACUGGGGCAACAGGCUCAGUGCAGCCUACAUCUUCGCACAUUUUAAACUGCAUCUAUGUGGCCUCUGUUAGGGAUUUAAGCCAGAAGUGCACCCCUAGUCAGGAAAUUAUAGUACGUGUAAUAAUGUUUAGUGUUAGAAUUAUAGUUUGUGUGAUGUUAGAUAUUAGUUAUUACAUUAACAUGUUAGAUGAAGUGAAUGCAAUUUCAAUCAAACACAAUUCAUAGUCAUUUAAAUCAUAUAAACACUGUACACAUUAACAUUCUGUCACAAUGUGAUGUUAAAACCUGGGGACGGAUGCCAAUUGCCGUUCUUUAUGGAUUUCUUCCAAUUUUUCCCCAAAGAGGGUUUUUUGGGAGUUUUUUCUCCUGUCAGGUAAUAAAAUGAACAACUUCAUGUAAGGCAGCCGACUGAGGCAAAUGUCUUGAGAAUUGAACCACAUGAACUGUUUUAGAUCUUAUGAUGGAGUGUGAUGAACGGUGAUCAUUAGUGAUGGGUUGUUGUAAUUAAAGUGUACUAGUUAUGAGAUGAAGACUUAAACGAUGUAUGCUUUGUUAAAUUCACUCAUUGGGGCAUAAAGCCGAAUGUAUCUACAUUGAGUGCAUUGGAAUGUGAGGGACAGCUAGGACAGAGAGGUUUCAGGUUACAGCUGCAGCUUCACACCUCGACGUGGAAGGGACAAUGGAGGAGGUGACCCUUUGGAGAAGAGGCCAAUGACAUUCAAAUGCACCAAGGAAGACACACCUCAAGAGGUUUCAAAGGACCAUGGCGGGGAAAAGACUGUUAGAACUUCUCCUGCAGCCGCGUUGAUAAGUCACUUCAGACUUGCUCAGAGGAUUCUCUAUUUCGCGAAAUAUUCCA
ensembl:lncRNA